CUACGGGUUGCUGCAGUGGGGAAUAUUGCACAAUGGAGGAAACUCUGAUGCGGCAACGCCGCGUGGAGGAUGACACUUUUCGGAGCGUAAACUCCUUUUAUAUAGGAAGAAGAUGACGGUACUAUAUGAAUAAGCGCCGGCUAACUCCGUGCCAGCAGCCGCGGUAAUACGGAGGGCGCAAGCGUUACUCGGAAUCACUGGGAGUAAAGAGCGUGUAGGCGGAUUAAAAAGUCAGAAGUGAAAUCCUAUAGCUUAACUAUAGAACUGCUUCUGAAACUCUUAAUCUAGAAUAUGGGAGAGGUAGAUGGAAUUUCUGGUGUAGGGGUAAAAUCCGUAGAGAUCAGAAGGAAUACCGAUUGCGAAGGCGAUCUACUAGAACAUUAUUGACGCUGAGACGCGAAAGCGUGGGGAGCAAACAGGAUUAGAUACCCCCGUAGUC
rnacentral:rRNA from 1 species